rnacentral:tRNA from 3 species
GCGCCUGUAGCUCAAUUGGAUAGAGCGUCGGCCUCCGGAGCCGUAGGUUAGGGGUUCAAAUCCCUUCAGGCGCACCA